rnacentral:rRNA from 1 species
GGUUAAGCGACUAAGCGUACACGGUGGAUGCCCUGGCAGUCAGAGGCGAUGAAGGACGUGCUAAUCUGCGAUAAGCGUCGGUAAGGUGAUAUGAACCGUUAUAACCGGCGAUUUCCGAAUGGGGAAACCCAGUGUGUUUCGACACACUAUCAUUAACUGAAUCCAUAGGUUAAUGAGGCGAACCGGGGGAACUGAAACAUCUAAGUACCCCGAGGAAAAGAAAUCAACCGAGAUUCCCCCAGUAGCGGCGAGCGAACGGGGAGGAGCCCAGAGCCUGAAUCAGUGUGUGUGUUAGUGGAAGCGUCUGGAAAGGCGCGCGAUACAGGGUGACAGCCCCGUACACAAAAAUGCACAUGCUGUGAGCUCGAUGAGUAGGGCGGGACACGUGGUAUCCUGUCUGAAUAUGGGGGGACCAUCCUCCAAGGCUAAAUACUCCUGACUGACCGAUAGUGAACCAGUACCGUGAGGGAAAGGCGAAAAGAACCCCGGCGAGGGGAGUGAAAAAGAACCUGAAACCGUGUACGUACAAGCAGUGGGAGCACGCUUAGGCGUGUGACUGCGUACCUUUUGUAUAAUGGGUCAGCGACUUAUAUUCUGUAGCAAGGUUAACCGAAUAGGGGAGCCGAAGGGAAACCGAGUCUUAACUGGGCGUUAAGUUGCAGGGUAUAGACCCGAAACCCGGUGAUCUAGCCAUGGGCAGGUUGAAGGUUGGGUAACACUAACUGGAGGACCGAACCGACUAAUGUUGAAAAAUUAGCGGAUGACUUGUGGCUGGGGGUGAAAGGCCAAUCAAACCGGGAGAUAGCUGGUUCUCCCCGAAAGCUAUUUAGGUAGCGCCUCGUGAACUCAUCUCCGGGGGUAGAGCACUGUUUCGGCAAGGGGGUCAUCCCGACUUACCAACCCGAUGCAAACUGCGAAUACCGGAGAAUGUUAUCACGGGAGACACACGGCGGGUGCUAACGUCCGUCGUGAAGAGGGAAACAACCCAGACCGCCAGCUAAGGUCCCAAAGUCAUGGUUAAGUGGGAAACGAUGUGGGAAGGCCCAGACAGCCAGGAUGUUGGCUUAGAAGCAGCCAUCAUUUAAAGAAAGCGUAAUAGCUCACUGGUCGAGUCGGCCUGCGCGGAAGAUGUAACGGGGCUAAACCAUGCACCGAAGCUGCGGCAGCGACGCUGAUGCGUUGUUGGGUAGGGGAGCGUUCUGUAAGCCUGUGAAGGUGUGCUGUGAGGCAUGCUGGAGGUAUCAGAAGUGCGAAUGCUGACAUAAGUAACGAUAAAGCGGGUGAAAAGCCCGCUCGCCGGAAGACCAAGGGUUCCUGUCCAACGUUAAUCGGGGCAGGGUGAGUCGACCCCUAAGGCGAGGCCGAAAGGCGUAGUCGAUGGGAAACAGGUUAAUAUUCCUGUACUUGGUGUUACUGCGAAGGGGGGACGGAGAAGGCUAUGUUGGCCGGGCGACGGUUGUCCCGGUUUAAGCGUGUAGGCUGGUUUUCCAGGCAAAUCCGGAAAAUCAAGGCUGAGGCGUGAUGACGAGGCACUACGGUGCUGAAGCAACAAAUGCCCUGCUUCCAGGAAAAGCCUCUAAGCAUCAGGUAACAUCAAAUCGUACCCCAAACCGACACAGGUGGUCAGGUAGAGAAUACCAAGGCGCUUGAGAGAACUCGGGUGAAGGAACUAGGCAAAAUGGUGCCGUAACUUCGGGAGAAGGCACGCUGAUAUGUAGGUGAAGUCCCUCGCGGAUGGAGCUGAAAUCAGUCGAAGAUACCAGCUGGCUGCAACUGUUUAUUAAAAACACAGCACUGUGCAAACACGAAAGUGGACGUAUACGGUGUGACGCCUGCCCGGUGCCGGAAGGUUAAUUGAUGGGGUCAGCGCAAGCGAAGCUCUUGAUCGAAGCCCCGGUAAACGGCGGCCGUAACUAUAACGGUCCUAAGGUAGCGAAAUUCCUUGUCGGGUAAGUUCCGACCUGCACGAAUGGCGUAAUGAUGGCCAGGCUGUCUCCACCCGAGACUCAGUGAAAUUGAACUCGCUGUGAAGAUGCAGUGUACCCGCGGCAAGACGGAAAGACCCCGUGAACCUUUACUAUAGCUUGACACUGAACAUUGAGCCUUGAUGUGUAGGAUAGGUGGGAGGCUUUGAAGUGUGGACGCCAGUCUGCAUGGAGCCGACCUUGAAAUACCACCCUUUAAUGUUUGAUGUUCUAACGUGGACCCGUGAUCCGGGUUGCGGACAGUGUCUGGUGGGUAGUUUGACUGGGGCGGUCUCCUCCUAAAGAGUAACGGAGGAGCACGAAGGUUGGCUAAUCCUGGUCGGACAUCAGGAGGUUAGUGCAAUGGCAUAAGCCAGCUUGACUGCGAGCGUGACGGCGCGAGCAGGUGCGAAAGCAGGUCAUAGUGAUCCGGUGGUUCUGAAUGGAAGGGCCAUCGCUCAACGGAUAAAAGGUACUCCGGGGAUAACAGGCUGAUACCGCCCAAGAGUUCAUAUCGACGGCGGUGUUUGGCACCUCGAUGUCGGCUCAUCACAUCCUGGGGCUGAAGUAGGUCCCAAGGGUAUGGCUGUUCGCCAUUUAAAGUGGUACGCGAGCUGGGUUUAGAACGUCGUGAGACAGUUCGGUCCCUAUCUGCCGUGGGCGCUGGAGAACUGAGGGGGGCUGCUCCUAGUACGAGAGGACCGGAGUGGACGCAUCACUGGUGUUCGGGUUGUCAUGCCAAUGGCACUGCCCGGUAGCUAAAUGCGGAAGAGAUAAGUGCUGAAAGCAUCUAAGCACGAAACUUGCCCCGAGAUGAGUUCUCCCUGACUCCUUGAGAGUCCUGAAGGAACGUUGAAGACGACGACGUUGAUAGGCCGGGUGUGUAAGCGCAGCGAUGCGUUGAGCUAACCGGUACUAAUGAACCGUGAGGCUUAACCUU